CCUACGGGGGGCUGCAGUGGGGAAUAUUGGACAAUGGGGGCAACCCUGAUCCAGCCAUGCCGCGUGUGUGAAGAAGGCCCUCGGGUUGUAAAGCACUUUCAGUGAGGAAGAACGCCUGGUGGUUAAUACCCAUCAGGAAAGACAUCACUCACAGAAGAAGCACCGGCUAACUCCGUGCCAGCAGCCGCGGUAAUACGGAGGGUGCGAGCGUUAAUCGGAAUUACUGGGCGUAAAGCGCGCGUAGGUGGCUUGAUAAGCCGGUUGUGAAAGCCCCGGGCUCAACCUGGGAACGGCAUCCGGAACUGUCGAGCUAGAGUGCAGGAGAGGAAGGUAGAAUUCCCGGUGUAGCGGUGAAAUGCGUAGAGAUCGGGAGGAAUACCAGUGGCGAAGGCGGCCUUCUGGACUGACACUGACACUGAGGUGCGAAAGCGUGGGUAGCAAACAGGAUUAGAUACCCUGGUAGUC
rnacentral:rRNA from 1 species